AGUUUGAUCAUGGCUCAGAACGAACGCUGGCGGCAUGCCUAACACAUGUAAGUCGAACGAGACCUUCGGGUCUAGUGGCGCACGGGUGCGUAACGCGUGGGAACCUGCCCUUGGGUUCGGAAUAACAGUUAGAAAUGACUGCUAAUACCGGAUGAUGUCUUCGGACCAAAGAUUUAUCGCCCAGGGAUGAGCCCGCGUAGGAUUAGCUAGUUGGUGGGGUAAAGGCCUACCAAGGCGACGAUCCUUAGCUGGUCUGAGAGGAUGAUCAGCCACACUGGGACUGAGACACGGCCCAGACUCCUACGGGAGGCAGCAGUGGGGAAUAUUGGACAAUGGGCGAAAGCCUGAUCCAGCAAUGCCGCGUGAGUGAUGAAGGCCUUAGGGUUGUAAAGCUCUUUUACCCGGGAUGAUAAUGACAGUACCGGGAGAAUAAGCCCCGGCUAACUCCGUG
rnacentral:rRNA from 1 species